rnacentral:tRNA from 1 species
GACUGUGGCUCAGCGGUAGAGCGUUCGCCUAGCACGUGCAAGGCCCCGGGUUCAAUCCUCAGCACCA